GGGCGAAUAGCUCAGCUGGGAGAGCACUUCCCUUACAAGGAAGGGGUCACAGGUUCGAGCCCUGUUUCGCCCA
rnacentral:tRNA from 1 species